AUCCUUGUUGCGCAGUGGAUAACGCGUUGGUCCUCUAAUCCAAAGGUCGAGGAUUCGAAUCCCACCUAGGAUG